rnacentral:miRNA from 14 species
GUGUGAUGUCAUGUGUGACGUCACGCGUGAUGUCACGUGUGACGUCAUGUGUGACGUCACGUGUGACGUCAUGUGUGACGUCACGUGUGA